rnacentral:lncRNA from 1 species
GAACAUUUUUAGAUUAGAAGUACUGCUGCAUUUGAACAUUUAAACUAUUUUAGACUACAUAUGCCGCUAUUUUAACGUGAGGGUUUAAAAAAAUUAGAUCAAAUAUAUGCAGGUAGCAUUGGAUGAUCGGCUCCCGCAUCCGUGUCCACGGACUGGUGCCCUACUUGUGAAGGAAUGCAGGGCGAAAUUCUCUACCAAAAAGGCUUUCGUCCCGCUUUAUAUAUAAAGCAACAUCCAACAUACAACCCAGCCGUACAACUCGACACCACAACCCAAGCACAUGAGGCAAAAUACAAAGGGUGAUGCAAACACGACGAGCAAUAAGCUCCGAAGCGGUGCCUUUAGGAAGUGCACGGCACCGGAGCAUCGCCACGCUCGAUCGAAGAAUCAGGGUUUCCCACGAAGCACACCGAGAAUGCGCCCCCGCCGCCGACCUGACCACAGUCAGAUCGGGUUCUCACCCCGACAAGAGCUCCUUGUCUCUGAUACGAAGUAGGCCAGUCACGAGGACCAGUGCCGUACCACCGCCACUACACGCCGUAGUUCCCUUACAAUUACAAGUACGUGUGGCUGACCGUCGAGCAUCCAUACAUACGACUCUCGAGUACUCCCUCCGUCCGUGUCAAAAACGCCCUUAUACUAUGGGAUGGAGGGAGUACUAACUUUACGGCUAACUGUCGAGCAUCCGUACGUGCAAUUGAGCAUGUCCAUGAGAACUGAGAAGCGGCACUCAAAGAAGUCUCAACAGCUACGAACGCGGCACAGAUUAUUUUAGUUGUUCUUGUCUCUGAAACAAGGAUAACCUGAAAUCAGUGGGAAGGUAUCGAUGAGGUACGUACUAGCUACCUUCUUUGCCUUCAGCUGCAAGACACUAGCACCAAUGGAGAAGCAUGACUUGAGCAGAUGAUUAUUCUAUCUAACCCAGUGCCGGGCAGCUGAGGAGUGGUCGUCACGACUGGGGUCCGUCCACACCGACUCCCGCCGACGUGCGAUCACCGGAGCCGCCCGACCGACCCCCAUUUAUCGUACACCGAUGGGUUUAUAAAGCGAUCGACCGAAAGCUAAGCGCGUGUGCAC